UAAAAUAUGUUUCUGGAUGGGUUUCCAGAAAAAAAGUUAAGUGUUUCAAAUGUAAAAAAGAAUGAAAUGAGAUUAUAUACUAAGGAUUGGACAUGUAUAUGGUAAGCUUAAAAUUGUGAUGUUUACAGACAACAAAAAUUUAGAACCACAAAGGAUCGAACCCAGAGGGAGAGAGUCUGCGUAUUUGGAUAGUGUGGGAGUUUAGCCACUAGGCCAAGAAGAAUCAUCUGUUAUGGAUUACAUUUAAUUUUAUUUAACUCCAAACUGUAACACAAAAAAGAAUUAAAAUAGAUUUUGAAUCCACCACAUAUCGAACCCGGGGAUAGAGAGACUUUUGAGUUAUAAAAAGCCUUGGUUUAACCGCUGGUCUGAGGAGAAUCAUCUGUUAAAGAAUAUUACAUAAGCAUACUUAACCCAAUUAAUAUAGGAUAGGUUUCCAAAACAAUACAUUUCGAUUGAAAAAAAACAAAACUCUUGCCGUCUCAACACUCUCGCCGUUUCAAACUUCUCGAAUCUCACUCGUCUCCGCCUCUCGAAUCUCUCUCUCAUCUCCAUAUCUCUCGAUCUCCGACGAAAACCCAUCUCCAGAACUCUCUCUCUCUCGAUCUUUUACGCGAGCUCUCUCUAUUCUCCGAGAAAAACCAUUUCUAGAGCUCUAUCUCUUGAAGGUAUGUUGCAGAUUCAACCUUAUGUGUGUUUUCUUUCUGAGAGAUUGGUCUCCUGGUUUUUGCUUGUGUAUAGACUUGCUCGUUUUAACCUAAUAUGAUUCGUAGAAUUCUAGUUCAUGUGAAAGCAUGUGUAUAGACUUCGGGAAGGAUUUGUAUUUUUUCAGGAAACCCUUCCUGAAAAUUGGAUUUUAAUUAAUUUAGACAAAUAAAAUUUUUCUUGUUUACGCAGGAUAGAAACAAGAUGGGAGAUCCAUUACCAUUAAGACUAGCACUGCCUGAGCUGAGGUAUCCGAUUGGAUCAGAGCCAGAGAAGACGAUAUCGAUAAACCAACACUCGAUAGUUGCUUAUAUCAAAACUGUUAAGGAAAUUCUAGGAAAUGAUGAGUUCAACAGAAUAAGAGGGACGUUUUUGGGACCGGUGAUCAAGCUUGGAGAGAGGUCUUUGAAAUUAUCAGCUAAGAUAGUGCACGCAGUUCUCACCAAAAGCAUCAAGACAGUGAAGAGACACGAAGCAUGGUUCCAUUUUGGUGCUCAGCCAAUGAGGUUCUCUAUAAGAGAAUUCCACAUGGUGACUGGUUUGAAAUGUAGUGGUGAAGCAAGAGAACCACGAGAGGGAACCGAGAAAUUUAAGUGGGACUUCCUAAAAGGGCGUACUCAUACAGUAAAGGACGUGGAGAAGCAGCUCAGAAACACAAGAGAAGAUGCUUCUGAUGAGAGAUUCUGCCUUGCAAUGCUCCUCCUGAUUGAGAGCAUACUACUACAGAAGAGCCUUCUCGACGGUGGCACAACUUUUACUUUGGAUUAUGUGAAAAUAGCGCAGGAUAUGGAUGUCUUGAUGACAUACCCAUGGGGGAGAACAGCUUAUAAUUUGCUGUUAAAAUCACUUCAGAGAGCUGUCGACAAAAGCCUCGACAAAAACAAUUAUGAUUUGCAAGGGUUCCCUAUGGCAUUUCUUAUAUGGAUACUUGAGUCAGUACCUUUGCUACAGUAUGCAUUCAGUCAAGUUGUUCCUAUUCUGAGCGUUCAACCGUCUACCCCAAUAUUUUUGUGUGAGAAGUACCUUCAAAUAGCUUCUCCACAGCUGAUAGAUGUUCUCCUAAUUGAAAUCAAAGAUCAUGUAAGUUUUUACAUUAUUUUUUUCUUGUUUCUGUUUUGCCUUAUGAUUCUCCAUUUAAAAGCUAAUUAUUUUUAUGGUUUCAGCUUAAGGUCACAUGCAUCCUACCUCCUAUUUCUAAUGAUCCAGAAGAUGAUGUUUGCAUGGGAGACGAAGCUAAUAAAGAUCUGGAUGACAUGGCCGAUUUAUCCAAGAGAGGUUAUAAGUUUAAAAUUAGAGAUUGGCGAAACAUGUCAGUAGACCUAUACGGUGCUAAUGAAGAAAUAAGAAGAGCAUCUUUACUGUUUGGGAAUGGAGGGAUGAGUCAAGCUUCUACUUCGUAUCAGGAGGAGUCUUUGGAAUCAAAGAUCAACAGAAUCAGCGAGAUGGUGGGAGAUAAUUUAAGGAUCAUGAACGAUCGUUUGUGUUUGAUUGAAAAAGACAGGAAACAGAUUAAAGAACGUGUGACAAACCUAGAGAAACUACAAAGAGUUACUUCAUAUGAAACUCCAAACAAUGAGACUGACACAACUCCAUUUCAUGAGACGGCUUCCAGACAAGGUGAAGCCAAUGCAGAUCAAGCAGAUGAACAACUUAACAAUGAGGAUACACGAGAGCCUAUGAAUGAGAUCACGAAAGAGACACCUGGUUCUCCAAUAGCUCAACAGAAUAUUGAGACUCCAGUCCUUACUCCAAUUCAGACGCAGCAGGAGACUCACGAGCUUAUGAAUGAGAUCAUUUCACCAAACAUUUCCGACACACAGCCAAAUACCCGAGCUCGCAGAAAUCUUUUAACAGAGCAAAAUAAGGAUGUAGAAAGCAGAGUUCAAAAUCCCUUUGAGAUCGGAGCAAAUGUGGAGAUUUCAUCACAAGAUGACAAUACUUGUCAUAAAUGGUAUCCAGGAAAUGUGUUGGCAACAUAUUUGGUUGAUGGGGUUGAGAUGGUGAAAGUUGAGUACUUCGUCCCGUCUCUGGACGAAAAGAAGAGGAAAAGGAGUGUUGAGACACGUGUAUCAAUUGACAGAAUACGUCCUCAACCACCACCUGAGAGAUCUGGAGCGAAGAAAAGUUAUGAGCUAAUGCAGGACGUGGAGGCGUUCGACAAUGGUGCCUGGUGCGCUGGAAAAGUUAAAGUCAUUUUGUUUGAUGGCUCGUGUUUUGUCUCUUUGAACAAUUCUAAAGAACAAAUUUACUUCCACCAUUCUGAGAUGCGAAAACCAAGAAAAUGGGUAGAUGGUGUUUGGGAGAUGACAAAAAAGAUGGAAGAAGAGCAGACGCAGAGUGUGAAUCCAAGUGAAGGAGAUGGUGAUAAAAAGGGGAAGGCGAAGGCUGUCGCUUGUAAGAAAAAUGAAGCAGCUGGUCCAUCAGAAGAUGGUGUUGGGAAAAUGGCAAAAGAGAUAGAAGUAAAGCAGGGUAAGAGUGUGAAACCAAGUCAAGACGAUCAUGCAAAAAAGGGGAAGCCACAUGUUGGUAAGAAGAAGAAAGCAAAUGCUCAGCCAGUAGAUUUGCUUCCUUUUCUACAGCGAGAAGAGAAGAGGCCAAUACGACCUAGAAACCCUCCUAUACCUGUAACACCUGAGGUAAUCCUUCCAAUUGAUCCAUUUGUGACACCUGAAUUUCCUCGGUUUUCAAGGCUUACACACUGGAUGGAUCUACGGGGCAUAUAUCGUGUGUAAGCAACUUUUUGUCCUCGCAUAAAUAUUCCUAAUUUAUUUUGUAAAAGUUUCGAUUGAUACUAGUUAAUUUUAUCAACUACAGACCGUUUUAUAUCAAUGGAAAAGAAAUUGAAAAAGAGUUCUUUCAAAAAAUGGACGAUGCAGAAAACAAUCUCAACAAAGAGCACAUAAAUGUUGCAUUUGAAAUGCUAAAUUGUAAGAGGGUUGAGCAAGGUGCUUGGUUCCGCAACAACAAUCUUCCACCAGCAUGCUUUGUACCAGUCAAAUUCUUAGAAGAGGUUGGGUACGCUUAUGAAUCUGUCAGGAAGCCACAUAAGAAAAAAAAAAGUUAUUGGAGGGCUGUGUAGGCGAACUUGUGAAAGGUUUAAUACAUCCAAAGAAGGUAUGGCUGGAAGAUGUUGAUGUUAUAUAUGGUGUCAUUGAAGAUAAGUUGAGCUGUCACUAUAUUGGGGUGGAGAUACAAUUGAUGGACAACACAAUCACACUCUUCCAUUGUGGUCUUCCAAAAGCAAAUAUCAAACGUGCUCUUAAUCAAAUCCAAGAACUGGCAGGUAAAAAUAUUAGCUAAUUUAGAAAAUAAAAGUUUGUCACUUGCUGCUUGUGAUUGUGAUGCAUUUUUACAUAUUCAUUUUGUUGUCUGUUGGUGAUUGAUUUAUUGUAUAAUUUUGGGUAUUUAUGACAGUGUUGAUUAGUGCCAUAAAGAUGGAACUUCUUGGUGAAGAGGUUAAUUUCGAAGAUAUCAGUCCAUUUGAAGUUAAGUUUGCAGAAGGGCUUCCAAAGACAAAAUUUCCAUACAACUGUGGUAUUUUUGUUGUGAAGAUGCUGGAAUGCAGGUCACUGGGAUUGAAGAGCAUGGCUAAUAUAAAUGAUGAAACUGCGAUGGACUUACGAAGCAAGCUAUGUUGUGAGAUCUUCGACCAGUUUAUGGAUAAAGAUUUCCAGGAAGGUCAAAGGAAGUGAAAAUGUCAUAUUUGUUCUGUUUUCUACACUGUUUUUCUACUUUGAUAUUAAUUAUCCCUAACGUUUAAGUUUAAGUUUGUAAUGAAUUAUCCCUAACGUUUUUUUCAUUUAGAUUGUUAUUGAAAAAUUUUUAGGAUGUAUUGAUGAAUUGUCAAAUGCUUAUGGUACUUUUAGGAUGGGUUUCCAGAAAAAGAGUGAGAAAGCAAAAUGCACCAAAGCCUAGCAUAUUCCUUUAAAGUUUACAAAAAAAAUGAAAAAGAAAGUGAUCCGAUGUUGAUUGAACUCGUGAACUCUCGAAAGAUGAAUCAAAGUGUGCAGCCGCUGUGCCAAGGGUGUUAUACUUGCCAAAAGAUAUAAUAAAACGAUAAUAACUUGUAACUUUUGAAUAUUUAAUUAAAAACAAAAAAGUGAAAAUAUACACAACGGGAAUCGAACACGGCUUAUUGUGUGAUAAGGGUACACUAAGAGUAGAAGGGCUUGCCACUAGGCUAUGGUGGAUAUUCGAUAUCAGAGUAAAUGUGAACUUAUUUAUUCACAGACGAUAGAUUUAUAUGAUCUGGAUAUCAUUUUAAGUAUUCAGGAUAGCUUUCCAAAAACAAAUUCCUUUAAAGUUUACAAAAAAAAAAUGAAAAAGAAUGUGAUCUGAUGUUGAUUGAACUCGUGAACUCUCGAUAGAUUAAUCCAAGUGUGCAGCCGUUGUACCAAGGGUCUUAUACUUGCCAAAAGCUACAAUAAAACGAAAAUAACGUUUGAAUAUUUAAUUAAAAACAAAAAAAAAUGUGAGUAUACACAACGGGGAUCGAACACGACUUAUUGUGUGAUAAGGGUACACUAAGAGUAGAAGGGCUUGCCACUAGGCUACGUUGGAUAUUCGAUAACAGAGUAAAUGUGAACUCAUUUAUUCACAGACGAUAGAUUUAUAUAAUCUGGAUAUCAUUUUAUGUAUUCAGGAUGGCUUUCCAAAAACAAAUAAGCAAAUCAGAUAACCAAGUUAUAAGAACACUAGGCCAAACCAUUACAAAAUAGUGAAAAACAUUGAACAAGUUUUUUAUUUAGGUUGUUAAUUGAAGAAACAACACAAGAGAAACAAAAGUGCUUAUUCAUUUAAAAUAAAAACUGAAAAUCAAACAUAAUGUGGUCCUUAAAAACAUAAAAAGAGAAGACGAUAACAUGAAAUUACUCAUGAUGGAGCCAACUUUCGCCAAGUUUAUCCCAAUCAGGGACUUUGACCUUCACAUCAGCAAGCAUUCCUUCCGCUUCCGAGUGCUCUUCUUUGAGUUUCUCCAACUCAGCAGUUAAAUCAAAUUUUCCAUCAGCUUUGAUAAUAUCUUCAAGCAACUCGAUUUGGACAGCAAUUGAAUUUGCUUUGCUGGAUGCAAGAUUCCAAUCAUUCUCAGAUAGCCUGUAUUCGUUGGACAAACGAAGAAGAGCCCUGUAAUGUUCCACAGUUUCCUUCUUCCCCUUCUUGAAACCUUCGGCGGCAUCACAUCCGUAAACCUCCUCUAUGGGACGCUUCAUCAUCUUCUUUGAACUUCCUUCCAUUGAAACUUUGUCCUGCAACAAAAUCGAAACUAAGAUGUUACGAUAAAAUAGAAAUAGAAAAAAGUUCAUGAAUUGAAUGGAAAAUGAGAAAAAUCGAAAACUAACUUGUAUUGCAAAAGGAUAUAUCAAGCGAAAUGAAGUGAGUGAAUAAAAGGUCUGAUAUCGUCCCUUAUAUUUAUAGAACAAAAAGGAACUCUUCGAUUAUUGAAGUCAGUUAAAAUAAACUCUUGAUUAUUGUGGAACUCUUCGAUUAUUGAAGUCAGUUACUGAAAUAACCAAUCAUAUAACACCCAAUCUUGACGAAAAGAAACUCUUCGGUUACUGAGUUACAUGAUGUCGUUUGGAAGAGACUCUUCGAUUCCUGAGAUAUAUGUUUGAACAAAAAAAAAAAAAAUCACCCAUUA